CCCUUAGAUGUUCUGGGCCGCACGCGCGCUACACUGAUGCAUUCAACGAGUGUACCUUGGCCGAGAGGCCUGGGCAAUCUUUUGAACGUGCAUCGUGAUAGGGAUAGAUUAUUGCAAUUAUUAAUCUUGAACGAGGAAUUCCUAGUAAACGCAGUUCAUCAAACUGCAUUGAUUACGUCCCUGCCCUUUGUACACACCGCCCGUCGCUACUACCGAUUGAACGUUUUAGUGAGGCAUUUGGACCGACGCAUCUCAGUUUAACCGCUGGUUUGUGUUGGAAAGACUUCCAAACUUGAGCGUUUAGAGGAGGUAAAAGUCGUAACA
rnacentral:rRNA from 1 species